rnacentral:rRNA from 1 species
UACGAAGGGGGCUAGCGUUGCUCGGAAUCACUGGGCGUAAAGGGUGCGUAGGCGGGUUUUUAAGUCAGGGGUGAAAUCCUGGAGCUCAACUCCAGAACUGCCUUUGAUACUGAAGAUCUUGAGUCCGGGAGAGGUGAGUGGAACUGCGAGUGUAGAGGUGAAAUUCGUAGAUAUUCGGAAGAACACCAGUGGCGAAGGCGACUCACUGGCCCGAUACUGACGCUGAGGCGCGAAAGCGUGGGGAGCAAACAGG